AGAGUUUGAUCCUGGCUCAGGACGAACGCUGGCGGUGUGCUUCACACAUGCAAGUCGAGCGGAUGAAAACAGUAGCUUGCUACUGUUGGAUUUAGCGGCGGACGGGUGAGUAAUAUAUAGGAAUCUGCCCUAAUGCGGGGAACAACAGACCGAAAGGUCUGCUAAUGCCCCAUAGGUAUGCAGUCUUCGGAUUGUAUAUUAAAGGAGUAAUCCACUUUAGGAUGAGCCUGUAUCCGAUUAGCUUGUUGGCGGGGUAAUGGCCCACCAAGGCUACGAUCGGUAGUUGGUCUGAGAGGAUGAUCAGCCACAAUGGGACUGAGACACGGCCCAUACUCCUACGGGAGGCAGCAGUGGGGAAUUUUACACAAUGGGGGAAACCCUGAUGUAGCGACACCGCGCGAACGAAGAAGCCUUUUGGGGUGUAAAGUUCUGUCGGCUGGAACGAAAAAAAUGACGGUACCAGCAAAGGAAGCAUCGGCUAACUACGUGCCAGCAGCCGCGGUAAGACGUAGGAUGCGAGCGUUGUCCGGAUUUAUUGGGCGUAAAGAGUUCGUAGGCGGUUAUUUAAGUCUGAUGUUAAAUACUGUGGCCUAACCACAGAACUGCAUUGGAUACUGGAUGACUUGAGUGCGGUAGAGGCAAGUGGAAUUCCCAGUGUAGCGGUGAAAUGCGUAGA
rnacentral:rRNA from 1 species